rnacentral:rRNA from 1 species
CAGGAAUCAGCUUGCUGAUUUGCUGACGAGUGGCGGACGGGUGAGUAAUGUCUGGGAAACUGCCUGAUGGAGGGGGAUAACUACUGGAAACGGUAGCUAAUACCGCAUGACGUCGCAAGACCAAAGAGGGGGACCUUCGGGCCUCUUGCCAUCGGAUGUGCCCAGAUGGGAUUAGCUAGUAGGUGGGGUAAAGGCUCACCUAGGCGACGAUCCCUAGCUGGUCUGAGAGGAUGACCAGCCACACUGGAACUGAGACACGGUCCAGACUCCUACGGGAGGCAGCAGUGGGGAAUAUUGCACAAUGGGCGCAAGCCUGAUGCAGCCAUGCCGCGUGUAUGAAGAAGGCCUUCGGGUUGUAAAGUACUUUCAGCGGGGAGGAAGGGAGUAAAGUUAAUACCUUUGCUCAUUGACGUUACCCGCAGAAGAAGCACCGGCUAACUCCGUGCCAGCAGCCGCGGUAAUACGGAGGGUGCAAGCGUUAAUCGGAAUUACUGGGCGUAAAGCGCACGCAGGCGGUUUGUUAAGUCAGAUGUGAAAUCCCCGGGCUCAACCUGGGAACUGCAUCUGAUACUGGCAAGCUUGAGUCUCGUAGAGGGGGGUAGAAUUCCAGGUGUAGCGGUGAAAUGCGUAGAGAUCUGGAGGAAUACCGG